rnacentral:rRNA from 1 species
UACGAGGGGGGGGCGAGCGUUGUUCGGAAUUAUUGGGCGUAAAGGGUGCGUAGGCGGUUUUGGUAAGUCUGAUGUGAAAUCUAUGGGCUCAACUCAUAGUCUGCAUCGGAAAACUGCCGGGCUUGAGUGUGGGAGAGGUGAGUGGAAUUCCUGGUGUAGCGGUGAAAAUGCGUAGAUAUUGGGGAAGAACACCGGUGGCGAAGGCAGCUCUCUGGGACGGUACUGACGCUGAGACGCGAAAAGCGUGGGGGAGCGAACAGG